GCUGGGUGUGGUGGUGCACACCUGUAGUUCCAGCUACUCAGGAGGCAGAGGCAGGAGGAUCACUUGAGCUCAGGAGGUCAGGACUGCAGUGAGCUAUGAUCACACGACUGCACUCCAGCCUGGGUGACACAGGAGACCCUGCAUCUU
rnacentral:sRNA from 1 species